AAAAAAUCAACGUGUGAACUUUUUCAACCCCCGAAGGAAUUGCAAACCUGUAAAUGGUGAGCAAAAUAUAUUGUAGAGAAAAAAGAAAAAGAAAUUAAAAUUAAAAGGAAGAAAAUGUUACAGAAAAUGUGAUUGCAGAUGGCUGUGAAGGAAGAAAGAAAGAAUGGACAUAUAUAGAUUGGCACUGAAAAGUAUGCAAAAAAGUUACGAAG
rnacentral:misc_RNA from 1 species